UGGUUUUUGGAGUAUUAUUCAUGUUUACUUAACCUCACUAAAUGCACACUGAUUAGAUUUAACCUCAACUCAUAGUUUUGCCGCGAAAUCUAUUUUCUUUUCUUUCUGUUCGUUGAAGAGAUGAAGCAUUUAAAUACAAGUGGAAUAUAUGUUAAAAAUACACAGUUCUUCAUAAAUAAUUUGUGAUGCACCUGUAAACAGUUUUGUACUUUGUGUAAAAAGUCAUACUGGUUAUCAUGCCUGUACGAAGUGUAUUCAAGAAGGUCAAUUUGAAAAUGGUAGAAUAACAUUUCUAGAAAUUAAUAGUAAUCUCAGAACAGAUCAAGGUUGUAAGAAAAGGCUUGAUGAAUACUAUGGCAAGGUGUUCACAGUCCAUUUGAAAGAUUAAGCACAGGACUAGUGUCUCAGGUGCCUCUUGAUUACAUGCUUUUAGUGUGCUUAGGAGUGUUCAAAAAAUUAUUGUUUUUCUGGAUAAAUGGAACUUGAGAUGUGCGAAUGAGAUAAGAUCUAAGUGAUAUAGAGAGAUUCAAAGCAGCGGUGUUUAGACAGAUUUUGUUAUAUUCGGGACCUGUGAUAUUAAAAAAAAAACGAAUUUCUACUUCACGGUAUACCCAUUUUAUGUGUUUGCAUUGUGCUAUUCGUAUAAGUUAUUCCGAUAAAUUGUUGCAUAAAUAUUCUGAUUGAACAGACGAACUUUUACGAUAUUUUUUGAAAAUUACAGUCUUCUGUAUGGAGAAGAGUAUGUUACUCAUAAUGUACAUAAUCUGGUUUAUCUAGUAAAUGACUGUAAAAAUCAUGGAAAUUUAGAUGACUUUAGUGCAUAUAAAUAUGAAUACUAUAUGUACGAACUUAAAAAGUCAGUUAAAUUUUCCCGACAUGCGUUAAAACAAGCUGUUAAUAGAUGCACAGAACAAACAAACAUUUCUUCCACAAUCCGUAAUAUUCAAAAAAGGACUUUGAACUUAAAUAUCGAAGGUGUUUUUUUAAUAAAAAUUUAGUAUCACAAAACUUUGAAAUACUUUUGAACAAUAAGGAUAAUUUUGUAUUAUCCGUUGGUGGAAUGUUUUACGUUAUUGACUGUUAUAUGCCAGAAAGUUAGUUCAAGAAAAAUAUUUGUUUUUGGACGACAAUUUCAAAAUGUUCAAUCAUACUUCACCGAACCAUGCGAUUCCUACAGAGUUUUAAAUGUGAUUACUUCAGAAGACAUAUCUGACUCAUCAAAAAAAAUGCCUAUAAAAGAUAUUAAACAAAAGUGUAUCAAGUUCUCAAGAGAAGAUGUCCAUGUUUUAAUUUUAAUUAAACUAUGAGAACAAUGAAUGACUAUUUACAUUAUUAAUAUACAGAGGGUGCCCGGAAAGUCGCGCACCGCCGUGACACUACAAUGCCCUAGACAACCAGAAUAAUGUUAAAAAAAUCUAAGUCUUUAAUUGUUGAAGGUAUGAUGAAGUAAAGAUUAAAAAUUUUUUGCAAUCUUUUGAAGGUAUUUGCACUACUAUUUCGAAUCCAAAUUCAUUUGUGAUAUAAAUAACAUUGCAUAAAAGGUUUUAGUAACAUAAAAAUUGAAGUAACCUUUCCAGAUUCUUUUAGAAAUGUUAACAAUAUUUUUUAGUUAACAAUGGUGUUAAAUCUGGCAACACUUGGCACAAACCAUUGUUGUUCAAAUGAAACCAUGGUUACGGUGAUUGCUUAUAAUUUAUAAAAUAAAUCAACUGCAAUUUUAGAAGAAGAACUCGUGAGGAGUUGGUGAACCGAAUUCAUGCCGCUAGUGCUACGAUCACUCCAGAAACAUUACAAACAGUGCAUGCCAAACCUUUGAGCAUUUGUUAUAAAUUUUUUAGUGCAUUGUUUAUUCAUUCGUACCUUAAAUUGUUUAAAAUAUCAUUACAAUUAAUAAAGCUGUUCUCCGCUCUGUUGCAUUCAAUAAAAUAAAUAAAAAUUACGAUAAUGGACCAACUAAUCCGACUAACAACAAUGGCGUAACCAUGGUUUUAAACACUAGAAAUUAAAUGUGUUCAACACCUUAUAAUGGUAUCCAAGACUUUCAUUAUAAUUUUUAAUUUUAGUUUUUACGUGUAUCUUUAAGCAACGUUGCCUUUUUUCAAAAUUUGUUUUAGGCUCUUAUGUAAAAACAGAGCAUGUGAAUUUUUUUUAAAUAUUUUUUCGGUACUCUAGGGGACUUAUCCAAUUACUCCCUUUCAAGGAGGUGCGCGACUUUCCGGACAGCCUGUAUGCUAUAUCAUUAAUAAUAAUUACGAAUAUAAACAUGUCUGAUUUCGUAAGUAAUGUCAUGUCAUGUUUAUGUUUUUUAUCAUGAAAUCUGGUCAGUAGUCCUGUUUUUGGAAACCAAUACAGUUGCGUUAGUGCCGAAUAACUGGAUUACACAUGAUUAAAAUGGAACAAACUAUUUUUGGCCUGGAGAUAAAGACGUCACUGAAAAGAUUAAGUAACACUGGGUACCUAAAAGUUCAUGGGACUGUUUUGAAAUAGAUAUUCUAAAAGAAUAUGAUAAAAACGAGGAAGGUAAAGGAGAGACACGAUUUGAAAAUGAAUUCACUGAUACGGAAGCUGCGAAGCCUUUAGGGUGAGGUCAAAGAAAACGAAAAAUCAAAAAAGAUUCUAGUUUUUUUCGAGGAUAUUGUACCAUCUCCGAAGCUUCAGUGCUUCCUUACUGAAUUAAUAGCAUUCUCAGUCAAUCAAGUUUCUGUAAAGCAGAGAAUAUCUGCCUCUGUUUGUGCCAAAAGCUCCACUACACUGGCGUUGAAGUUUUCAAAUUCCUAUUUGUCCCCUCACUACUACAAAAUUUGGGUUGUUUUGAAAAUCUCGUCUUUGAUAUUAUGAGGUUGGUUGAGUCCUGGUCCUUGGCAGAAAAAACGUGCUACAUAUAGCCUGUUUUUUAACUAAAGAACCACCAACACCGCAAUUUACGACCAAUUACACAUGGCAACAUGGUAAUUUACUAAGGUAUGACUUGGUGAAUUUUAUUUUCUAUUCAUCUGAAUAUGUCAUCAAGUGUCAGCAGGAACCUAAAUAUUUUAAUUUGAAUUUUUUUUCAAAAAAUGCCAAGAAAAACGAGAAAUUUACUGAAUGCGAGAUUGAGAGACGCUGUUUUGCGAUGUCAUAAAGUACUAAGUGAAAUGAAUUCACGACUAAGUGACCGUUAAAUGCAGGAAAACUUAUGUAACAUCUUCUCGGUAAUUUGUUGGAUAAAAUAAUUACUUAUUGCUUAUUUAGUAUGAAAAAUUACUUAGGUGUCUCUUUCUACUGUAAUGAGAAUAUUAAAUGCUGACAACAGUGAGAGACUUUGUUCUAAAAGCGGAGGAAGAAAAAAUAUAUUUCCUUUGAAGACCAUUUCUUUAAAGAAAUUAACGUAAAAUUAAUGAAUUUAAAAAGCGUGGUAUAUUUUACUUUGAUGAAACUUUUAACUUUUGCAAAGAGAUAAACUAGUAUAUAGCGGAUCGCAGAGCACUUUAUAUAAAAGGGUUACAGGUACAAAUUGGAAAAUUUCUGAAAAAAUUUAAUACUAAGGUCGUAUAUUACUGCAAAAAGAAUGACAAAAUGCCAACUAAAGAUAUUAAUGGUGCUAUUCUUAAACUGCUGUUACGAUGUUAUUGCUCUAUUACUGUAAAAAUUACAGCUGUUAUUUAAAUCCGUAUUUCGUAAACUCUGUUAGCAACAUUUCUACAGUAACAUUCUCUGUUAAAUAACAGCGGCAAAAACUUAGCUAUAAACUUAAAAGUAACAGUGACAUUUUGAGAUAUUUUUCGGCGUUUUGGGUAAAAAUAAGAGUUUUGGAACAUGAGUUUAGUUCCAGUGGUUUCAGCUUUCGUUUUUGACAUGCUGGCCAUCGAAGAAAGGCGAAACUACCUGAGGUUUUACAAUAGACAGUUACGAGAUGAGCAAAAUCCAUUCGAACUGCCAGGUGUACAGUUUAAAAGUAUGUUUCGACUGAAUAAAAACUUGGUGAAUUUCUUAAUUGAAGAACUUCAACCUCAUAUACCUAGUCGAAUGUCUGUUUUACCGUUACAUUUAAAGGCUAGUUUCCAAAUACCUUCAGAAGCAGUAUUUGCACAAAAUACUAUGUUACAAAUCUUUGAA